GCGGGCUCCUCUGAUGCACAAGGCUGGACAUGUGGUUUCUUCAGGACAACAAUUGGCUUUUGCGUUCAUUCCGUGUGCUCGCGGCUGUUGCAGAGUUAAAAAAGAACUCUUUGAUGCAAUCAGCUCUUUUAUUUAAAAUAACAUAAAGAAAAAAACUUUAGUGGUUCAUAUGCAUUUUGUUUUGAUCUUGCAGGACAACAGUUGGCUCUUGUGUUCAAUCCGUCUGUUCGCUGCUGGUGCAGAGGACAACAGUUGGCUCUUGCGUUCAAUCCGUGUACUCGCUGCUGGUGCAUAAGUAAAAAGAACUCUUUGAUGCAAUCAUCUCUUUUAUUUUAUAUGAUGCACAAGAUCGUCCAGGCACCGAGAUUACAGUGUGGGAGGUUCGAAGAGAGAGAAUUGUGGGAGUGCCUAUGGUUUCUGAGUUUUACUUUCAGGUUUUGGAUGAUGCUUUUAUCAAUCAAUGAUGGCUUUGACUGAUCUUCCUCAGGCGUUCUCAUUUCCUUGCUCCAAACGUAUCUCUAUUAGUCAUCAGGGCUGUGCCAUCAGAAAUCCAAAACAUCUCUGUUUGGUGAAAUGAUAUCUGUCUCUCGUUGAUGCAGAUCGUCGAGGCAUCGGGAUUACAAUGUGGGAGGUUCGAAGAGAAAACAUUGUGGGAGUGCUUAUGAUUUCUGAUUUUAACUUUCAGAUUGUCACAUCGAGUUAAGGCACUGGGAUGACUUUGUUGAAUCUUAUCAUCUCGUCUAUCAUUUGUUUAGGUUUCAAGUAAUGUUGCUCAUCUUCCUCGUGAUACUGGCAUCUAGGCGUUUAGCCUAAGACCCUGUCUUUUGUUAUAAGAUAUUCGAGGUUCUAUAAGAAGAAAAACAUCUCUUUUUGUAUUUCUAAUGCUACAUCUAUUCCUACUUGUCUCUGUUAUUUCAGGUUUUGGAUGAUACUUUUAUCGAUCAGUGAUGGCUUUGAUGGAGAUACUUCUUCUCUGUAAAAUGUCUUCAGGAGUUUUGUUCUUUCUUCCUCUUCACACGUCUUUCACUUUUCUUUUUUUUUGUUCCUUACAACAUUUCUUUCUUCGUCUUGCAGGUGUUUUGGAAGCUAAUUGCAAUCUGAUCCACGGGUAUUCUUCUCCAUGCUUCGUUUUCAGGCCUACUGAGUUUCUGAGUUUGCUAUUGUUGGUGAGCAAAUCAAGAGGACGAUAAGGAUCUCAGAUUGACAACAUUCAUAUAUUUUUAAGUCUCUUAGGUGGUAUGCUUAAGUUUGAGCUCCUCUGAUGCACAAGGUUGGACUUGUGGUUUAUUCAGGUAAUGUCGCUCAUCUACCUAGUGACGCUGGCAUUUACGUUUUCAGUCUAAGACCCUACCGUCGGUGAUGACUUUGAUUGAUCGUUGUCAAGCGUUUUCUCCUUUUGGUUGUUCCUUUUUCCCCAAUUCUUAAUUCCUAUAUCGUCGUCGAGUCAGAGGCAAUGGGAUUGCUCUGUUGAAUCUUAUCUUCUCCUCUAUCAUCAUCUGUUCUCCUUCAUUAAUUGGGUUAACAGCGAAUCAGGAAGACGGUAAGGAUCUCAUCAUUGGAUGAUGCUUUUAUUUACUUGUCGUUCUGUUGUUUCAGGUUUUGGAUGAUGCUUUUAUCGAUCAGUGAUGGCUUUGUUGGACACGCUUCUUCUCUGUGCCAAGGGUUUUCAGGGAUUUUGUUCUUCCUCUUAACAGGUCUUCUUCUUUUUCUCUUUUUGUUACUUACAUUUCUUUCUUCGUCUUGCAGGUUUUUUGGAAGCAAACUAUGAUCUGAUCAUCAUGUAUUCAAUCCUCCAUGCUACGACUUCAUGCCUUCCAUGUUCCUUGCUAAAAGUUUUAGAUGAUGCUUUUAUCGACCAGUGAUGGCUUUGAUGGAGAUACUUCUUCUUAGUGCUACGAUUUCAGGGGUGUUUUGGAAGCAAAUUAUAACUAUCUGUACCCUUAUUCCUUUUUAACUAGUUUUUUUUUUUUUUUUUUUUUUUUUUUUUUUUUUUUUUUU